rnacentral:rRNA from 1 species
UACAGGGGGUGCAAACGUUGCUCGGAAUCAUUGGGCGUAAAGCGCACGUAGGCGGUUUGUUAUGUCGGAUGUGAAAGCCCUUGGCUCAACUGAGGAAGUGCAUCCGAAAACUGGCAAGCUAGAGUACUAAAAGAGGGUCGCGGAAAUUCCCGGUGUAGAGGUGAAAUUCGUAGAUAUCGGGAGGAACACCGGUGGCGAAGGCGGCGACCUGGGUAGAUACUGACGCUGAGGUGCGAAAGCGUGGGGAGCAAACAGG